GGCCUGCUGGUGAAGCGGUAUCAUUUCCCUAUAUUAUCAAGCAGGUGGAUAUUGCUUGUUGGGAAGUUCCUUGUUCGAAGCAAGGUCAGGCCG